rnacentral:rRNA from 1 species
UGGGGAAUAUUGCACAAUGGGGGAAACCCUGAUGCAGCGACGCCGCGUGAGUGAAGAAGUAUUUCGGUAUGUAAAGCUCUAUCAGCAGGGAAGAUAAUGACGGUACCUGACUAAGAAGCCCCGGCUAACUACGUGCCAGCAGCCGCGGUAAUACGUAGGGGGCAAGCGUUAUCCGGAUUUACUGGGUGUAAAGGGUGCGCAGGUGGCAGGGCAAGUCAGAUGUGAAAGCCCGGGGCUCAACCCCGGUAUUGCAUUUGAAACUGUCCGGCUAGAGUGCAGGAGAGGUAAGCGGAAUUCCUAGUGUAGCGGUGAAAUGCGUAGAUAUUAGGAGGAACACCAGUGGCGAAGGCGGCUUACUGGACUGUAACUGACGUUGAGGCUCGAAAGCGUGGGGAGCAAACAGG